GNGUUGUAAAACGACGGCCAGUGAAUUCGAGCUCGGUACCUCGCGAAUGCAUCUAGAUUCCUACGGGAGGCAGCAGUGGGGAAUUUUGGACAAUGGGGGAAACCCUGAUCCAGCAAUGCCGCGUGUGCGAAGAAGGCCUUCGGGUUGUAAAGCACUUUUGUCAGGGAAGAAAUCCUUUGGGCUAAUACCCUAGGGGGAUGACGGUACCUGAAGAAUAAGCACCGGCUAACUCUGUGCCAGCAGCCGCGGUAAUACAGAGGGUGCGAGCGUUAAUCGGAUUUACUGGGCGUAAAGCGUGCGUAGGCGGCUUUUUAAGUCGGAUGUGAAAUCCCCGAGCUUAACUUGGGAAUUGCAUUCGAUACUGGGAAGCUAGAGUAUGGGAGAGGAUGGUAGAAUUCCAGGUGUAGCGGUGAAAUGCGUAGAGAUCUGGAGGAAUACCGAUGGCGAAGGCAGCCAUCUGGCCUAAUACUGACGCUGAGGUACGAAAGCAUGGGGAGCAAACAGGAUUAGAUACCCUGGUAGUCCAUGCCGUAAACGAUGUCUACUAGCCGUUGGGGCCUUUGAGGCUUUAGUGGCGCAGCUAACGCGAUAAGUAGACCGCCUGGGGAGUACGUCGCA
rnacentral:rRNA from 1 species